rnacentral:rRNA from 1 species
UACAGAGGGUGCUAGCGUUGUUCGGAAUCAUUGGGCGUAAAGGGCGUGUAGGCGGUUUGUUAAGUCAUGUGUGAAAGCCCCCGGCUCAACUGGGGAGGGUCACGCGAUACUGGAUCGACUAAGGCAGGAGAGGGUAGUGGAAUUCCCGGUGGUAGUGGUGAAAUGCGUAGAUAUCGGGAGGAACACCAGUGGCGAAGGCGACUACCUGGCCUGUUCUUGACGCUGAGGCGCGAAAGCUAGGGGAGCAAACGGG